CCCAAUCGCAUCAUCUCUAAUCUCAACGAAACGGUAUCCUUGGAGCGAGGCUCUGUACCACCAAGUUUGUAGCUUAGGGUGGGUCACGAAGGAGUUCUGACUAGGGAAACAAAAAAAAAAAAAACAGAAAAACUCUGAAUCGGAAAAAGAAUGAGUCUCGUUCAGAGGGAUGGGAUGAGGCGAUUGUGGAGGCUGAAAUGAUUUGCCCUAAAAAUGUUUAUAUUUUUUUCUGGUGGCCCUGCACUCGGAAAAAGAAUGAGGGUCGUUCAGAGGGAUGGGAUGUUUCUAAGGGUGGUUGCCCCUCUCUGUAAACGAUGAUCUCCUACAAAAUGAGGGAUGGGAGAUCAUCUAGAGCCAAUGAUUUCAUUUCCUAUAGAAUCAACAGCCCUUUGUGUAUGUAUACUUCUGAUUCUUGUAGAUUUUGUAGUUUCCAUCAUCAAUCAUCAUUGUAAGAGGCUGUGAUGAUAUAUGUUCUGAGUGGAUCAUACUGGCAUUGAGAAUCGGAUCCGUUUGUUGGCGGGGCAAACCAGAGGGUAUGUGGGAGAGAGAUUUGGUUCUUCUCUCACAGGCAACUGUUGUUGCAGCCAGGGCGGUGGGAUAUACUCUUGCCCUCAUCAAAACCAGAUCUGAGCCUCUCAAAUGUAUUUUAUUGAAAAUUUUCAAAAACAAAAAAAAAAAAAACUCUGAACUUACCCUCUCUCUCUCUGCAACUGCAAAGUACAAAAUCUACAAGAAUCAGAAGUUCAAAACCCAUAUAUUUCAGUAUAUCUAUCAGUCAAAUUAGGGCAAGUGAGGCGGCUGAGAGCAGAUCUGAAAUGGGGAUGAUGUUUUCCGAAAAUCUAUGGGGAUUGUUGGGCAGGGAAGCAUUAUAUACAUAUAUGUUGUAAUUGUUUGCUUCCCUACUCCACCCAUUGCUAUUGUUUUCGGUGUUCUCUCUUUUCUUGUUCAGCUUCAUAUCUCUUUUACACACACUCAAACAAUCACACGUAUAUGUAUGUAUGAAUAUAUUGUUUAUGCGUGUUUGCGUAUCGACGCCGGAAAGUUGUGUGGGAGGUCGAUCGAGUUUGUCGAAGAGAAAGUGUAGCAAGCGAAGGAAAUCAAUCAAGCAGCGAGUUUUGUCUCAUUUGUCUGAUCGAUCGUUGGACAAGGUCCACAAGUCUGCCCCUUCGGAUCGCUCCCAUAACAAUCCCACUUUUCAUGGUCCUCUCUCUGUCUCUAUCUCUCUGCAUACUCAUAUAUAUAAUAAUGAUUAGGAGUUUCAAUUUUUUUUUUUUUUUUUUUUGAAACUGCAAUUUGAAAUUGAAUUUUGAAUUUGAACUGUGUUUUAUGGAGUUUAUGGUUUGGAUUGUGAGAGAAAGAUGGGAAUUUGGACUAAGCUAAGCUAGCUGCAUUGUGUGAAGCUGGAAGUAUUGAGGAGGCAUGGUUUGAUUCUGCUGCCAUACUUGACUCUGACUGUGAUGAAGAUUUCGAAAGUGUCCUGGAUGAUGUGCUGUCUCAAAAUGGAUUUGAAGGUUCAUCUGUAUAAGGGUACUUAACAGCAGGAAAUUCUGCACGCAACUCUCUCAGUGAGGUUGCUAAAAGUUCAAUCCAUUCAAAUGAUGUUGAUUCCAAAUAUAAAUCUGAAGGACCUGCAAAUGAAGCAAAGCAACCAGUGUUCCUUGAUGAAAUCUCCUCCUCUGUGGAUGAAAAUGGUGGCUGGGAGGAAGGAGUACUGGAAAAUUGUGGACUUCUUCCAAACAACCUGUGUUCCUUGUCUUGCUUCUACUCUCCCUUCAGUUGAGAAGAGAAGAUCACUAAGCUCUAGUCCACCAAACUCAACUGUUUUUGGUUUAAUAUAAAAUACAGUCGAUGGUAUCCGGAUGUCUCCUAGAAUUGGAAUUAAUCAAUAGUUCAUUCUUCAUCUAAUUUUUUUUUUUUUUCAUUUUUUUGGCUAUGAGGUUGCGAGGUCUAAUAGGCUUUUAUCCCCAGUUGAGAGGUGCUAAUGCUGUUUGCAACAUCAUAGUGGAUGUAUGUGUAGUUACUAGCUACAUCCGUCCUUGUGCGGGUUAUGUUUUUGUUGAGUAACACAGUGUUGCGAAUUUUGUAGCAUGUGCUUAAUUAUUGCUACUUAUGACUUCCUUUUGGUUGAGCAACGAGCAAGUUGAAGUGACAUUAGGGAGAAAACUAUUUCGAGCUUGAUGUGGAUAUGCACCGAUUUAUUUACAUCUCUAGGAAAGGGUUUGAUGCAUUCCUGGAUAGCCUAAAGCACUGCAUUUUGGAUGUUGGCCUUACAAUUCA